CCCAGUUCAGGGAGGUAGUGACAAUAAAUACCUUACAGAGGUCUCGUUAACCGAGAUCUCUCAAACGGAAUGAGUACAACGUGAAUCCUUUAACGAGGAUCGACUGGAGGGCAAGCCUGGUGCCAGCAGCCGCGGUAAUUCCAGCUCCAGUAGCGUAUAUUAAAGCUGUUGCGGUUAAAAAGCUCGUAGUUGGAUAUCAGUGCGUGUUCGGUCCGGUAUGCCUGGCGCUGUCGCUCGCGCGGCAAUGCUGGGCUCCCAAAUAUCGGCUGGCCGCAUUCAAUCGUGCCGGAUCCGUCGGCGGGCCGUUCUUCGGAGGGGCCUGUUGGCGGCCGGCGACGUUACCUUGAACAAAUUAGAGUGCUCAAAGCAGGCUCUUAAUGCCUGUAUACAUAUUCAUGGAAUUGGAGAAUACGUCCCUGGCUCGAUUUGGUUGGUUUUGAGAGUCGAAGGGAAAUGAUUAAUAGGGACUGACGGAGGCAUUCGUAUUGCGACGCGAGGGGUGAAAUCCUGUGACCGUCGCACGACGAACUACUGCGAAAGCAUUUGCCGAGAAUGUUUUCAUUAGUCAAGAACGAAAGUUAGAGGUUCGAAGGCGAUCAGAUACCGCCCUAGUUCUAACCGUAAACGAUGUCGACCAGCAAUCCGCAACGGUCACUACACGGACUGUGCGGGCAGCUUCCCCGGGGAAACCAGAGUUUUUGGACUCCGGGGGAAGUAUGGUUGCAAAGCUGAAACUUAAAGGAAUUGACGGAAGGGCACCACCAGGAGUGGAGCUUGCGGCUUAAUUUGACUCAACACGGGACAACUCACCAGGCCCGGACACCGUAAGGAUUGACAGACUGAUAGCUCUCUCUUGAUUCAGUGGGUGGUGGUGCAUGGCCGUUCUUAGUUGGUGGAGUGAUUUGUCUGGUUUAUUCCGAUAACGAACGAGACUCUGGCCUAUUAAACUUGACACUGUCAGUCUCUUGUGACUGCGGUGCGCUUCUUAGAGGGAUCAUCGGCGUCCCAGCCGAAGGAAAGGGAGCAAUAACAGGUCUGUGAUGCCCUUAGAUGUUCUGGGCUGCACGCGUGUUACACUGAAGUGGUCAGCGCGCCGUUCAACACCCCUCUCCGUGAGGAGCUUGGGCAAACGUUUGAACCCUUUUCGUGAUGGGAAUUGGGGGUUGCAAUUG
rnacentral:rRNA from 1 species